UUGGCAACAUACUUGGCAAGAUCACUGCUAUUCUUGGCUCUGCUUUUGCUCAAUGACGUAUGUCGUAACAUAAAAGCCAAUCCAUUCGCCUCAGCUGCUUUAAGAGACAAAGCCUUCAAAAUGUUCACAUUCAAAUGAUACUCAUUACUAUGAAGAGGGCACGGGCAAAGAAUGGGAACCUGCAGUGCCAGGAGAAGCAUUUUAAAACGGUACACGUACGCUAUGAUCAUUCACACGAUGCAAAAUCCCGUCCCGUGCCUCCGCGUCAGGUCUUUACUAAGGUGGCUCCACCGUGCUACCGGACAACAGCAGAUGUCUUGUUGAUACUUGAGCUCAUCCGCCC